AGUGAACGCUGGCGGUAGCCCUAACACAUGCAAGUCGAACGGCAGCACAGUAAGAGCUUGCUCUUACGGGUGGCGAGUGGCGGACGGGUGAGGAAUACAUCGGAAUCUACUUUUUCGUGGGGGAUAACGUAGGGAAACUUACGCUAAUACCGCAUACGACCUACGGGUGAAAGCAGGGGAUCUUCGGACCUUGCGCGAUUGAAUGAGCCGAUGUCGGAUUAGCUAGUUGGCGGGGUAAAGGCCCACCAAGGCGACGAUCCGUAGCCGGUCUGAGAGGAUGAUCAGCCACACUGGAACUGAGACACGGUCCAGACUCCUACGGGAGGCAGCAGUGGGGAAUAUUGGACAAUGGGCGCAAGCCUGAUCCAGCCAUACCGCGUGGGUGAAGAAGGCCUUCGGGUUGUAAAGCCCUUUUGUUGGGAAAGAAAAGCAGCAGGUUAAUACCCCGCUGUUCUGACGGUACCCAAAGAAUAAGCACCGGCUAACUUCGUG
rnacentral:rRNA from 1 species